GAUGAACGCUAGCGGCAGGCUUAACACAUGCAAGUCGAGGGGCAGCGUGAUGAAGUAGCAAUACGGAUUUGACGGCGACCGGCGCACGGGUGCGUAACGCGUAUGUAACCUACCUUUAACAGGGGGAUAACACUGAGAAAUUGGUACUAAUACCCCAUAACACUUUGAGAGGCAUCUCUUAGAGUUGAAAGUUCCGGCGGUUAAAGAUGGACAUGCGUUGUAUUAGCUAGAUGGUGAGGUAACGGCUCACCAUGGCGACGAUACAUAGGGGGACUGAGAGGUUAACCCCCCANACUGGUACUGAGACACGGACCAGACUCCUACGGGAGCAGCAGUGAGGAAUAUUGGGUCAAUGGACGCAAGUCUGAACCAGCCAUGCCGCGUGCAGGAAGACGGC
rnacentral:rRNA from 1 species